UACGUAGGGGGCAAGCGUUGUCCGGAUUUAUUGGGCGUAAAGAGCGUGUAGGCGGCCUGGAAGGUCAGCUGUGAAAACUCGAGCUCAACCUCGAGACGCCGAUGGAAACCCUCCAGCUAGAGUCCGGAAGAGGAGAGUGGAAUUCCUGGUGUAGCGGUGAAAUGCGCAGAUAUCAGGAAGAACACCCGUGGCUAAGGCGGCUCUCUAGUACGGUACUGACGCUGAGACGCGAAAGCGUGGGGAGCGAACAGG
rnacentral:rRNA from 1 species